AAAGCCUCUUGCUCAAAUGAGUAUUCCAUUUAAGAUGCAAAUACAUUUUAUGCUCUCUCUUAGAGAGCAUUAGGGUUUCCAAUGAAAUGCUCAUUUGAGCAUGGUGCA
rnacentral:pre_miRNA from 9 species